UUUUUUUUUUUUUGUCUUUUCUAGGGCUGCUCCUGCGGCAUAUGGAGGUUCCCAGGCUAGGGGUCCCAUCAGAGCUGUAGCUACUGUCCUACGCCAGAGCCACAGAAACAUGGGAUCCGAGCCGCGUCUGCAACCUACACCUCAGCUCACGGCAAUGCCGGAUCCUUAACCCACUGAGCAAGGACAGGGAUUGAACCCGAAACCUCAUGGUUCCUAAUCGGACUUGCUAACUACUGAACCAUGAUGGGAACUCUCACUUCUACAAUUUUAAAUUUCCUGAUAGUAACAUUAAGAAGGUAAAAAGAGACAGGUGAAAUUAAUCAUCAUAUAUGUUAACUCAAUAUAUCCAAAUGGUAUCAUUUCAACAUAUAACCAAUGUAAACAAAUAUUAAUAUUUUACAUUCCUUUUUCUCAUUUUUGUCAUUAAAAUCCAGUAUACAUUUUAAACACUUCGGCACAUUUCAAUUCACACUUCAACUUGGAUGAGUUACAUUUCAGUGGCUCAAUAGCCAUGGGGGGCUGGUGGCUACCAUGUGGAUUAUACAGCUGAGGAGUUGGCACAAUUGUCAAAAGGUCCAGAGUUCCAGCUUACUUCUAAAUUGUGUAUUUUGGAAUGACUGGCCUGUAAGUAAUGAAUACAUACUACUUUCUUUAAAGACUUUUUAUGUCCUUUUUUUUUUUUUUUUUUUUUUUUUUUUUGUCUUAUUACAGCCAUACCUGUGGCAUAUGGAGGUUCCCAGGCUAGGGGUCCAAUCAGAGCCACAGCCACAGCAAUGCCAGCAGAUCCGAGCCGUGUCUGCGACCUACACCACCGCUCACGGGAACGCCAGAUCCUUAACCCACAGAUCAAGGCCAGGGAUCGAACCCACAACCUCAUGAUUCCUAGUCGAAUUCAUUUCCCCUGCACCGUGACGGGAACUUCCCAAGACUUUUUAAAAAGAAAAAAAGCCAUUACUACUAAAUGGCUCUGAACGAGUAAUUUCAAUCUUCUUGGGCUUCAGCUUCAUCAGCUGUAAAAGGAGAUGAAAAAAUGCCAACACAAUUUUCCUUACAGGGCUACUGUAAGGAUCACGUGCUUAAUGCGAGGCAAUGAAAGUGUUUGGUAAAGUGCUAUGCAAAUGCUAAUUAUUGUUAUUAUAGCUCCUGCAAGAGAACAGAUCAUCAUUGCAAAUCAAUAGCAUUCUUUUCUUCAGUCUACGAAUAUUUUGCCCACAGCUGUCCUUUCUUCCCAGAGGAAUGAGAAUGGUAAGAAAUGCAUAUUUCUGUUACUGGAUCAGAAAUGUACUUUAAAAAAAAAGAAAAGAAACGUACUCUACAAAACAAACCCAUCAAAAUUUCCAAGUGAUAUUCAAACUGUUUUGUUGACUAGAUAAUUUGUUAAAAUGGAGACCCUGCAUUUAAAACAGGAAGACAUCCCCGGUCAACAAAUUCUAAGGGAACUAACUAGCCUCCUAGAGAAUCAGCCUAUUUAUUAUUUAUUACUGCUUUUUCAGGACUGCACCCAUGGCAUAUGGAGGUUCCCAGGCUAGGGGUUCAAUCGGAGCUACAGCUGCUGGCCUACACCACAGCUCAUGGCAACGCCGGAUCCUUAACCCACUGAGUGAGGCCAGGGAUCGAACCCCCAACCUCAUGGUUCCUAGUCGGAUUUGUUUCCCCUGUGCCACAAGAGGAACCCCGAAUCAGCCAAUUUAAAAGACACAUUCUGAACUAGUGAACAAAGCUGGAGAACCUCCCCCCCCUCUCCCCCAUCCCAUUUUGUUCCUUUUCCUCCAGCCUUCUGACUCUUUAAGGGUUUUCCCAAAUUAUCUGUGAACGUGGGUGGUUGGAAACAAUAUUUGAAGAUUGAGAAGAGAGCUGAUGUCUAAAUAUUUCUUGAUGGUUGAACAAAAAGACACCCCUCCCCCCCCCAAUCUGCUAUGACAAUGAAGACAAAUAACAUAAGCCUUGAGUAGCAAUUAAGUGAAAACGUGAGUGGUACAGAAUUAUUUGGUAAAGAGUGACUUAUACAGCAAGAAACCAGAGAAAGCUUUAGUCUUCGAGGAAUAAUUGAGGGCAGAGAACAAAUCCUUGUUUUCAAAGGCCAUCUGGGGUCCUUGGCAACAGCAGCCUUGCCUGGCAGCAGGCAUGAAGGCCACAAGUGACAGCAUCUUCUUUACAGCUCAGCCACACUCAUGGCUUUGAAGGUUCCUAAAAGUCCAGACUGUAUCUAAGAUAAGCCUUUUGUAAAGUGUGUUUUGCACGAUGUUUCCAGGCAUUUCAAUGUUGGGGGUGUGGAGUGCGGAACAGGCGAGCGUUCAAUGACCAAAAGAGUUUUGGGAAAUCCUGGAUCCACGCGAAGUCCAGCAGGUUCUUCCACUACUCAGACUUCAACGUGACAGUGUCCAGAGGGGGAGAGGGCUCUGGCCGGGGACUGGACCGUUUCUCAAAUACCAGAGAUCUGGAGUAUUCUCAGGCGGACACGAUCACAUCUUCAGACACUUCCACUUUCACACAUGGUCACAAAACACACAAAAAUGAAAGUAGGUUCUCUCCGGAGACCAGCGGAAUAUCUGAUUUGCUGAUUUCACACUUGGAAAACUAACUGCACAUCAAAGCGGACCCUUAGCAGCACCAGAUUUAGCGCCCCCUGAUGUCACAGCAGCAGCUACACCCCCCAACCUGCGGUUUCUCUGUUCCAGCUCCCGGGCUCUCCCCAGGCAGGCCUCCCUGGAGAAAGCUGUGGCCCCUAAUCAAAGGCAUUUCUGCUUUUGUGCCUCAAGGUACUCAUAUAAAAGGCAUAAACAUUCUGAUACAGAAGGUGUAAACAUUCUGGAACAAAAUAUAAUCAUAACUUUGAUGGUUAUUGUCUUAACCUGGGGAUGCACAGAGCUUGCUCAGAGUAGGAAUUGUACCCUGAAAGAAGAGCCCUGACUUUUCUCCUCUAGACCCAAUUGGGCAAUUUCAAAAACCUAUGUUUUUACCUUUCUGAACUGAUGACAUCACGGUUAAAUCUGAACAGUGUUUGGCAGUGGAUCCCAAACAAGGGCCGAAGACCCUCGAAGAGGGUCUGUGGGUCAUUUCAAAGGUCUUCCAACCAUAUGAGCACCAAAAACCGCCUGCAGACCAAACACUCAAAAGAACACUGCAAUUAUAUGAGGGAAUCCAAGGAACCUUUUUUUUUGGUCUUUUUUAGGGCCACACCUGUGGCACAUGGAACUUCCCAGGCUAGGGGUUGAAUCAGAGCUCCAGCUGCUGGCCUACACCACAGCCACAGCAACACCAGAUCCAAGUCGUGUCUGUGACCUACACCACAGCUCACGGCAAUACUAGAUCCUUAACCCGCUGAGUGGGGCCUGGGAUUGAACCUGCAUCUUCAUGGAUACUAGUCAGGUUCAUUAUUGGUGAGCCACAGCAGGAACUCCAUGGAAGCUUUUGUUAAAAAUACAUCCUCAUGUUUUAAAACGCUAGAGACCAAAACGAGCGCUUUUAAUAAACACGCCCCUUUCCAGGCAUCUCUCCUAUUAGCAAGAGGGUGACACUUCCAUAGCUUCUUUCAAGUUACAAAUUAAUUGAUUUUUUAAAUUCUCUGAUUUUGUUUCUCUGUCUCAUAAGACAUGGCGUAAUUUGAAAUGGCAAACGCUCAUAAACCCACAGAGUACUCAACCAUCCUCCUUAAAAUUCUGUAAUUUUCUAUUCUUCAGCAAGGAAGAAUAGUCUAGUAGAUUCUGUGUUUAUUUUUCAGUGACACCAAACAGAGGAGCUAUUGGUGUGCCUUUAGACUAAAGCUUUCCAUGUAAUUCUGACAAACCUGCACUGAUUCGAAAAAUAAUGAGUUCCCGUAGUGGUGCAGUGGAAACAAACCCGACUAGGAACCAUGAGCCACGACGCGAAGUCCUACUUAACCAGUCUUUUACUCACAGGCACUUUACAUUGUUUCACAUUUUAACCAACGCUGAUAUCGGUACAAUAAGUAUCUUCAGAAAGACUUCUUUGUUUAUACUUAUAAACUCUACUGGAUAAAUUCCUAGAAAUUAAAUCUUUCGGUCAAAGAUUAUAUACAUUUCAAUUUUGAGUGGCACUGCUCACGAAACUGCAUCAGGUUACACGUGAGCGCCUGCUUCUCCACAUCUUUCCAACACGCUUUGUUAUCAGAUAUUCUUUUUGCCAAUCUAACGGUGACAUAUCACAUUUUACCAGUCGCAUUUCUUGCAUUGUAAGUGGAAUCGGGCCUCUUUCCAUGUUUACAAACAUGUUUCUAUUUCUCUCUGUUUAAAUUCUCAAUUCAAAUUGGUUUGAAGAGCACAUUAUGCAUGAAGGGAAAACAUGGCCCUUUUCUCAGUUUUAGGUCUUGGAAACAUCCUUUCCUAGUCUACGCUUUGUCAUUUGAUCUCGUUUCUUGUAUUUCUGAACCACGUAGAAGUUUUAUAUGAGAGCUAUCACUUUUAUAUUCACCAACAAAAUCUAGCUGACAUUUCUGAACACAAAUAUGCUUCCUUCCAAGAGACAUGAAGUCAGACAGAAAAAUGAGCAAUCAGUCACCAAAAAUCCUUCCCCUGAAGUUAUGAGAAUGUGGAAGAGCAAAGAGCUGUUAACCAAACCAGUGCUGGCACCCAGUGACGUAGUUCGUGGAAAGGGCAUCUGCAGACCCCUGGAAAGGCACACUUUCUCCUUUUGUUUGCAGAGUCCGUGUGCUUGUCCGCAUCUCAGAGUCCAGCAACCCCCUUGGCCUCCAGUGAAAGAUGCCUUGGCUUAGCCGUUUCGGAACAGAAGUGAUUACAGAUGAAGAAUUGGGCCUUGCCCUGCCCACAGCAGACUCUUCCACGCAACACCCACUCAAUGCACACAAAAAAGGAGAGCUGGUCAACAGACAGAGACUAUGGCCCAGCACGACACCAAAGGGGAAAACAAAACAAAACAAAAAAACCAUUAAUGAGGCAGGUUCUCCAACUACCCACUAACUCCCCCGGCAACGUACAGGUGACACAAGUGCUCAGACAACUACUUCUCUCCUGGCACCACCUCCUUCUUACUUCUCUCUAGCCAAAGACUAGAAAAACAC
rnacentral:lncRNA from 1 species